UGAAACAUGUUUCAUUUUCGAGAAGUAAUCUUUUAGUGUGUAAACAUAAAAAAAAUAUGUUUUGUAAUUUAAAACUGCUGUUUAUUGGCGGAUUUCUAAUAAUUCUACUUUAACACGUUAAUAUGGAUGGUGAUAUAAUCAUUGUGCUGCUGGAAAUCUACAUCAACGCGAUACUCCAAGCGCGCGAACUCUACCCAGCCGCAGUAUUUCGGAAGCGAAAAGCCUUCAACAUUCCAGUAUGGAUUGCGAUUUUUAACCCUCUGAACGAAUAUUUAAAACGGACCCUGUGUGCAGCUGUUGAGCUCAAACGAGCCAAAAAACUUACGAAAGUCGAACUGCUGAUCUACCAGGAGGAAAGCGGUCCGUUGGAAAAUUACGUUUUCGAGCUGGAGGACCUUGAACUUCCGCUGGCAACCGACGAGCACAUGUUCGAACUGGAAGAUCACGUUCGGAAGUCCCUUUUGAAUUUCGGCAACCAGCUUAAGGGACUGAAAAGGCUGUCAUCCGCUGCGACAUUCAAGCUUUUACUUCAUACCACUGAAGCGGCGCACGUCAGGCUUGCAGCUAAUCCGAAGCUUCAGGAUCACCCCUUCGUGCGGGAUGCAAGUGGAGCGGGAUUUGAGACUAACAAAAGGCAGCUUCUGCCGUUGGUUUAUACUCCUACGGUUGGAUUGAACAUGUAUGUUCAAGAAUUUUUAGUGGCAAACAACAGUGGCUGUUUUUCUGGUUUUUCUACCCCGUAAUGCCAAAACGGAAAAACAAUCUCCUAGCUCCUCGAGCAAAAGCCGUGAAGCCCGAUUUCCGAGCACUGCCUCCAACAGCAGUGGCUACAGCAGCAGUUCCUACUCCUCAACGCCCUCCCUACUGAAGCAGAAAGUUAAACUGGAACCAUUGCCGGACGCUUCGGAGUUGGUAGAAUCGCUACCAACCAUUUCUCCCAAUUAUCGCCCGAUUCCGCUGAACCAGGUCGUGAUGGAUUGUGUAUUUUCCAACAACUGCAAGGCUCAGCGGUCGAUUCUGACCGAAGGAGAAACCCUCGGCCACAGCAUGUAGUCCAAAAAUCUUCGCACCAAAGUUUUUUCCGGCAUCAAAACCUUUACUGGAAUCGUGCCUAGCCUGUACGACCUGUGCAUUCGACUCAUAGAAGCUGAAACAUAGAGCUGCUGGAUUGUACCGGCGGAAUUCCGUUCGAAAUGCUCAAACCGGUCCUGGAACGUGCCUCCGCCAAACAGCUGGAAUAUCUGGAAGAAGUGAACCCGUACCUGUUAGAGGACACUGACAUCCUUUAGGAGCAGCACUGCAAACGACUCUUCCGAAGCCAAACACGAAGGGAAGAAGAGUGCGAAUCAUGGCUGGAGAUGUACGCUCGUUAUUCAAAAGAAAGAGAGGUAAAGCUGCAGCAUGAACCGUCUGACGGCCAACAUCAGAUGGCCCAGGUAGAGCAGACAGCAGCGGUCAGCGUAAGUGUCAACCUGCGACAAAAAUACCUCGUCCAACUGAUCAAACCAGAGUUAUCCGCAUCACUUGGAUCGAACGACAGCCAAAAAUCCGAAGGCGGAGAUGCAUUGCUUCAGAAAAACAUUGCAUUUUUUGCCAGUGAUUUGAUAAGACUAAUCUAACCCAUAUGUUAUAUAUUUGGUUGUAUUUCUAUUCUUGGUAAUGCUAUAGCCUACGCCCGCCGAACUGGUACCGAAAUUCAUUGAGGACAUAAUUACUUAUUCAAGUUUUCUUUAUUGAGCACUAGCUGAUUUUACCCGGCCUUGCUCGGGUUCAUGUAAAAAAAAUUAAUCAAAAUGAGUCGUUUGACUUUUCUAAAUUAUAGAAGCUUUAUAUUCAUCAUUCUGAGAAAUUUGUCCGAUUUUAUGUCAUGUAAUUUUAGUCUUUUAAAAUUAUUUAAUGAGAUUAUAAACUGUGUUUAUCGUUUUCAUGAUAUUGGAAAACGUAUAGA